CCCUUAGAUGUUCUGGGCCGCACGCGCGCUACACUGACGAUGUCAACGAGUCUCUCCUUGGCCGAAAGGUCUGGGUAAUCUUCUGAAACAUCGUCGUGCUGGGGAUAGAUUAUUGCAAUUAUUAAUCUUCAACGAGGAAUGCCUAGUAGGCGCAAGUCAUCAGCUUGCGUCGAUUACGUCCCUGCCCUUUGUACACACCGCCCGUCGCUCCUACCGAUUGGGUGUGCUGGUGAAAUGUUCGGAUCGGCCGUUUGUCGCGGUUUCCGCGUCAUGUGGCUGAGAAGUUCAUUAAACCCUCCCACCUAGAGGAAGGAGAAGUCGUAACA
rnacentral:rRNA from 1 species